AUGGCACAGGUGUCCCCUUUACCUGGCACAGGUGUCCCCUUCCAUGGCACAGGUGUCCUCUUUACCUGGCACAGGUGUCCCCUUUAUCAUGGCACAGGUGUCCUCUUUACCUGGCACAGGUGUCUCCUCAUCAUGGCACAGGUGUCCCCUUUACCUGGCACAGGUGUCCCCUUUAUCAUGGCACAGGUGUCCUCUUUACCUGGCACAGGUGUCCCCUCAUCAUGGCACAGGUGUCCCCUUCCAUGGCACAGGUGUCCUCUUUACCUGUCACAAGUGUCCCCUUUACCUGGCACGGGUGUCCCCUUUAUUGUGUCACACGUGACCCUUUUGUCCCGUCACAGUUGUCCCUUUAUCCUGGCACAGUUGUCCCCCUUGCCUGGGCAGAGGUGCCCCCCUUUACCUGGCACAGGUGUCCGUGGCACAUGUGACCUUCUUUUCCUGGCACAGUCAUCCCUCUUGUCCCAGCACAGGUGUCCCCUUGUGCCAGUUUCCCCUCUUUACCUGACACAGGUGUCCCCUUAUCCCAGGUGUCCUCCUUACCCCAUCACAGGUAUCCUCUUGUCCCAGCACAGGUGUCCCCAUUACCCCAUCACAAUGUCCCCUUUACCUGGCACAGGUGUCCCCAUUACCCCAUCACAAUGUCCCCUUCACCUGACACAGGUGUCCCUCUUUACCUGGCACAGGUGUCCCUUCAUCCUGGCGCAGCUGCCCUUCUUUACCUGGCACAGGUGUCCCCUUUACCUGGCACAGGUGCCCCUUGCCAGUCCCAGGAGGGGAAUCCACGCUCUGGCUGCUGCAGGAUCUGGGCCUCCCAUUUCCAGCCCGGCAGAAUUCCCAGCCCCUCCUUUAUUAAAUGUAAUAAAUAAAUAAAAAUGUAAAUUAAAA
ensembl:lncRNA